GACGAACGCUGGCGGCGUGCUUAACACAUGCAAGUCGAACGGACAGUCUCUGCUUUUGUGCGGUGCUCGGGUGGCGACCAGGUGGGUAGCAAGAGGGUAACAUCCCCUUGUCUUUUGUGUGACAUCAGGUAACAACGGCUACUAACGCAUAGGAUCUCCUGCUGCAUGGUGGGCGUUGGGGAGUUUGGGCGGUUGGGUGUGGACUCGCGGCUUAUCCGCUUGGUGGUGGGGUGGUGGCUUACCAAGGCUUUGACGGGUAGCCGGCCUGAGAGGGUGACCGGCGACAUGGGGACGGAGAUACGGCCCAGACUCCUACGGGAGGCAGCAGUGGGGAAUGUUACACAAAGGGCGGGAGGCUGAGUCAGCAACGCCGCGUGCGGGAUGACGGCCUUCGGGCGGUAAACCGCAUUGGCCUGUUACGUAGCGGGAGUGACGGUAACGGGUAAAGAAGCACCGGCUAACUACGUG
rnacentral:rRNA from 1 species